rnacentral:rRNA from 1 species
GACGAACGCUGGCGGCGCGCCUAACACAUGCAAGUCGAACGAGCGAGAGAGAGCUUGCUUUCUCAAGCGAGUGGCGAACGGGUGAGUAACGCGUGAGGAACCUGCCUCAAAGAGGGGGACAACAGUUGGAAACGACUGCUAAUACCGCAUAAGCCCACAGGUCGGCAUCGACCAGAGGGAAAAGGAGCAAUCCGCUUUGAGAUGGCCUCGCGUCCGAUUAGCUAGUUGGUGAGGUAACGGCCCACCAAGGCAACGAUCGGUAGCCGGACUGAGAGGUUGAACGGCCACAGUGGGACUGAGACACGGCCCAGACUCCUACGGGAGGCAGCAGUGGGGAAUAUUGCACAAUGGGGGAAACCCUGAUGCAGCGACGCCGCGUGGAGGAAGAAGGUCUUCGGAUUGUAAACUCCUGUUGUGGAGGAAGAUAAUGACGGUACUCAACAAGGAAGUGACGGCUAACUACGUG